rnacentral:misc_RNA from 1 species
UUUCCGUAGGUGAACCUGCGGAAGGAUCAUUACUGAGUGAGGGCCCCUCGGGGUCCAACCUCCCACCCGUGUUUAACGAACCUUGUUGCUUCGGCGGGCCCGCCUCACGGCCGCCGGGGGGCAUCUGCCCCCGGGCCCGCCCCCGCCGAAGCCACCUGUGAACGCUGUCUGAAGUAUGCAGUCUGAGACAAUUAUUAAAUUAAUUAAAACUUUCAACAACGGAUCUCUUGGUUCCG